GACGAACGCUGGCGGCGUGCUUAACACAUGCAAGUCGAACGGAAAGGCCCUGCUUUUGUGGGGUGCUCGAGUGGCGAACGGGUGAGUAACACGUGAGUAACCUGCCCUUUACUUUGGGAUAACUUCAGGAAACUGGGGCUAAUACCGGAUAGGAGCUCCUGCUGCAUGGUGUGGGUUGGAAAGUUUCGGCGGUUGGGGAUGGACUCGCGGCUUAUCAGCUUGUUGGUGGGGUAGUGGCUUACCAAGGCUUUGACGGGUAGCCGGCCUGAGAGGGUGACCGGCCACAUUGGGACUGAGAUACGGCCCAGACGCCUACGGGAGGCAGCAGUGGGGAAUAUUGCACAAUGGGCGGAAGCCUGAUGCAGAAACGCGGCGUGCGGGAUGACGGCCUUCGGGUUGUAAACCGCUGUCGCCUGUGACGAAGCGUGAGUGACGGUAAUGGGUAAAGAAGCACCGGCUAACUACGUG
rnacentral:rRNA from 1 species